GCGGCAAUUGUUUUUGUUUGGGGCAUGAUUCGAUUUUGACGAUCUUCUUUUUUAUCUGGACUUUUCACAGUCGUAAAGCUGAUGGACUUUCCAAAUAGAGAUUGCUGCCUUUUAUGCAUCUUCUUAGGGUCGGUUUUGGUCUACCUUGAGGUUCCUCAUCGAUGGUCGAGAUACGAGCCCAAGCACUUCAGUUAAAGCGCUGAGAACUGAACACCUUGGCC
rnacentral:lncRNA from 1 species